ACAUAUGUAUACAUAAAAAAAUAAUUUAAAACAUACCCGAGAGUAAGUAAAAAUGAGUCUAUACAUAAGCAAUUGCAUGUGAAUUAUAUAUCAAAAAUAAAAAUUUAUGUAUAUAUAUUUUUUGUUAUAUACGUAUAUAUAUGUAUAUAUAUAAAGGAUAAGAUGAUUAUAUUUUGUAAACGAUCAAAAUAAAUUUUACAUAUUGCGAGAUAUAAUUACCAUUGCUAAAUGGCUAAAUGGCCAAUUGUUAACAUCAUUUUAGUUCAUUUGUUUGUUUGUUUGUUCACUUGUUUAUUCACUUGUUAAUGAACCUAUGUAAAUGCAUAUUUUACAGUUUCUUACGUUUUAUUCCUUUUAUUAAAAUGCGUUUCGUAAACUAAAAACGGACAUAAAGUAAUAAAAUACAUGAUGUUUUGAGUAUGUUCUACCACAGUUACAUGUGCAUUAUGUGCUGAAGUUUACAUAAGCAAUCGAAUAUAAAUACAUGUAUACACACAUAUAUAUAUAUAUAUAUAUAUAUAUAUAUAUAUAAAUUACAACGCGUUCAUAUCCACCAAUGUGAUUUAAUCUUGUAAAAAAUAUAUUAUAGAAAAACACGUAUUUUAAUAGAUAUAUUUUAAUAGAUAUAUUUUAAUAAAUAUGACUUUUAUUCUUUAGAAAAGAAAAAAAAUAAAAAGCAAAAAUAAGUUUAUAGUAAAUAAAAAAAAAUAAUAAAAUGGAAAAAAAAGACCUUUUAAAAACGUUAGAGAGGGAACUGAAGCAAUAUGGAGAGGAAGAAAUGCUGCUAUAUUUUCACGAGUUUUACAAGUCUGUUUCAAAAAACGAUACAGAGCAGGCUCAACGGAUAUUUAAUGAAAUGACUCAGGAAAUGAAGUAUGUAUUGAUUUGAAAAAAAAACAA
ensembl:lncRNA